AACGUAGGUGGCAAGCGUUAUCCGGAUUUACUGGGCGUAAAGCGCGUUCAGGCGGUUUGGAAAGUCGGGCAUGAAAUCUCCUGGCUCAACCAGGAGAGGUUGUCCGAUACUUCCAGACUUGAGGGCAGUAGAGGGUGGUGGAAUUCCGGGUGUAGUGGUGAAAUGCGUAGAUAUCCGGAGGAACACCAGUGGCGAAAGCGGCCACCUGGACUGCUCCUGACGCUCAAACGCGAAAGCUAGGGGAGCGAACGGG
rnacentral:rRNA from 1 species